GAUGAACGCUAGCGGCAGGCCUAAUACAUGCAAGUCGAACGAGAUUAAGAGGCUUGCUUCUUAUGAAAGUGGCGCACGGGUGCGUAACGCGUAUGCAACCUACCUUAAUCAGGGGGAUAGCCCGAAGAAAUUCGGAUUAAGACCGCAUAAAAACACAGGAUAGCAUUAUCCAAUGUUCAAAUAUUUAUAGGAUUAAGAUGGGCAUGCGUGUCAUUAGCUAGUUGGCGGGGUAACGGCCCACCAAGGCGACGAUGACUAGGGGAUCUGAGAGGAUGACCCCCCACACUGGUACUGAGACCCGGACCAGACUCCUACGGGAGGCAGCAGUAAGGAAUAUUGGUCAAUGGAGGGAACUCUGAACCAGCCAUGCCGCGUGCAGGAAGACAGCCCUCUGGGUCGUAAACUGCUUUUAUUCGGGAAUAAACCUUUCUACGUGUAGGAAGCUGAAUGUACCGAAGGAAUAAGGAUCGGCUAACUCCGUG
rnacentral:rRNA from 1 species